rnacentral:rRNA from 1 species
AGCUAUAAUGCAGUCGAGCGAACAGAUAAGGAGCUUGCUCCUUUGACGUUAGCGGCGGACGGGUGAGUAACACGUGGGUAACCUACCUAUAAGACUGGAAUAACUCCGGGAAACCGGGGCUAAUGCCGGAUAACAUAUAGAACCGCAUGGUUCUAUAGUGAAAGAUGGUUUUGCUAUCACUUAUAGAUGGACCCGCGCCGUAUUAGCUAGUUGGUAAGGUAAUGGCUUACCAAGGCGACGAUACGUAGCCGACCUGAGAGGGUGAUCGGCCACACUGGAACUGAGACACGGUCCAGACUCCUACGGGAGGCAGCAGUAGGGAAUCUUCCGCAAUGGGCGAAAGCCUGACGGAGCAACGCCGCGUGAGUGAUGAAGGGUUUCGGCUCGUAAAACUCUGUUAUUAGGGAAGAACAUAUGUGUAAGUAACUGUGCACAUCUUGACGGUACCUAAUCAGAAAGCCACGGCUAACUACGUGCCAGCAGCCGCGGUAAUACGUAGGUGGCAAGCGUUAUCCGGAAUUAUUGGGCGUAAAGCGCGCGUAGGCGGUUUCUUAAGUCUGAUGUGAAAGCCCACGGCUCAACCGUGGAGGGUCAUUGGAAACUGGGAAACUUGAGUGCAGAAGAGGAAAGUGGAAUUCCAUGUGUAGCGGUGAAAUGCGCAGAGAUAUGGAGGAACACCAGUGGCGAAGGCGACUUUCUGGUCUGUAACUGACGCUGAUGUGCGAAAGCGUGGGGAUCAAACAGGAUUAGAUACCCUGGUAGUCCACGCCGUAAACGAUGAGUGCUAAGUG